CCAUCAAGUUACAUACUAUUUUUUUGAAGAAAAAAAAGGAGGAGAGUCCUAGAUUGUUUUCUUGGAUACCUGUAAAGGUCGGACACUUAUACGGUUUUAAAAGGAAUCAAAGAGAUAUCCACGAUCAUCAAAUUAUGGUGAAUACUUACCUACACAAAGGUGAAGAUGAGAUCUUCAAAAUUUUGCUUUGCUAAAAUUUUAUUUGCUAUACAUAGAUCCUAAGAACAUG
rnacentral:lncRNA from 1 species